ensembl:lncRNA
GAGGCACCAGCCCCACAGCUACAAUUACCAGCCCCACAGCCCGAGAUGUUGCCAGCUUCCCAUCUAUGGUUACCAGUCCGACGGGCCGAGGAGUGUCCAGCCCCACAGCACGAGGAGUUGCCAGCCCAACUUGUGAAGCCAUGUUCACUAAAAUUCUAACAGUUUUAGAAGAAGUGAAGGAGACACAACGUGUUCAUGGAAAGAUGUUGAAUGUCCUGCUGAAAAAGCAAGACGGAUCAAUGGUAGAGGUUCCUGAAGGAGUGGUCUUACCUCUGAAAACCCAGGCUGACCUUGAGGCUCUUGAUUAGAAGCUGGGGGAUCGUAGUGUCAUGUCUGCUGUUGUUGCCAUGGUGGCAGAUGUGGGCGGCACAAGUAUAGAUGACGCAACGAGAAGAAUGAUGAAAUACAUCUUUUCAAAUGAGCUGGCAUUGGAGUACAAUUUGUUUGGCCAUCAUGGGAAAAAAAAGUUUAAAGAUUUGCGUAUUUUCAACAUUGUGUAUGAGGCUCUUAAGAACAACCCCCUGACAUCAAAGGUCAACCAGCAAGAAGCUGAGAGGGCACUGUCAAAAUGGUUCACUGGAGCAAGAGACAGAGGAGGACAAAGGGCAUCAAGAAUACACCAAAAGAUGGCUGCAGUUAAAAUUUUACUGAAAAGGUUAUAAGGUUAUAAGUUGCUGCAUCUAGCUGUUGUAGUUCUUGUAUUUUUUUUUCUGACGAUCGUGUUCUCAAAUUUGGUGGGUUGGCAGCUUUCCCAAACACUCAUGGCUGGUUCUAAAAUA